UAAAAAACGCUGACGAAGAGUAGUACAUUUGCACUUUACACGUUUAGAGAGUCUGUGGUUGCUGCAAACAGAUCGUGUAAGCAUUUGGAAUGGGCUUCCGAGUUAGCUUUGUGAACGUCUUAAUUUCCUUACUGGAGUCUAUUAGCAGAGCUCGUCCCUUCACGUUACGAAGUAAAGUGGCCUAUUUAGGCAAGCUGGGUGGUACCGCGGAUUCAAACAUCAUUCGUCCCUUCA
rnacentral:ncRNA from 1 species